CCAAAGUGCGUAGUUUUCCAUAUCCAACGUUAAAUUAUCCGUCUUAUUUAUUUUUUUUACGAUAUUAGAUGAUAAAACAUAAAUAUUACUUUAUAGGUGACUUAUUUUUUAAAAUAUUUUCGUAAAUAUUUUAAAUAAGACAGACGAUUAUACGUUGGACACGGAAACCUGCAGCUACACUUAGA
rfam:Oryza glaberrima chromosome 1 Oglab01_0046_2, whole genome shotgun sequence.